AAAUAGCUCUUGAAAGCUAUGGUUUUCUAUUCAACUUUUCAUCUAACACGGAUUCUGCUAGUUCCAAUUCUGCUUGUCGAGGUCCAGCUCAAAAUAUUAGAGCUUGGCUUAAACUUGCAACUGCUUCUUGUCAAAUGAGAAACAAAAGGGCUAUGCAGAGUACCUAAGGACUUGAACUGCCUAAGAAUUGUGGAAUGCAUUUCGGGAGUCAAUACUCGCUGUAAGCUGUUUAGAAUUACAGUUGCCGAUUUUUGUUUAUCAAUAGUUUAGAGCAUUAUUCAUUACUAUUUGGAGAUUACAUGAGUCUUUAUU